rnacentral:tRNA from 1 species
GCACGAGUGGCCGAGUUUGGUUUAGGCGCAGGAUUGCAAACCCUGUUACGCGGUUCGAUUCCGUCUCGUGCUCCA